GAUGACUAACGACAAUUUGAAUAAGCGGAAAGAAUAUUUAUAUUGUGUCGUUAGUAAUAAUUCGAGUAAAUAUAAAAUAAUUGCAGAAGAAGAAUAUGAUGAAAUCUGUAACAAUAUCAAUAUGAUAGUAAAUAAGAAAAUAAAUAAGAGUGAGGGAUAUGGACGAAUGAGAGUUGAUAAUUAUAUGUGUGGAUCCACAAACAAGUCAAAGGUGGGGAUUGUCAUAGAGAGUAAAUUUGAAUGUAAUCGGCACUGGCAAUCACUUAAUAUCUUGACGUACUACAGUUGACUAAAAUUGAAAAUUGCUAUUAAUUAAAUAUAAAAUUCGAAUUUUAAUAAUAAGGACAACGCUUUGAAAGCGGAGGUACCAAAAUAAAUCUAGAAAGCCACACCAUAAAUUGUGUGGUUUUCUUUGCGUAUCAAAAGUUGCGAGAACACGAUUUCCCAAUCCCUUCAAAUCGUUUUCUUAUGCUAUCGAGUUGGUUACGAGCAAUUGGAUACUUAAUUCCACCAGAUGAAGUGUCGGUGAACGACUCCACGUUGGAUUAUUGUGUCAUCCAUAUUGUCAGUUAGUAAAUCAAUCAGGCUGCAAUAAGUGAGUUUAUGCAAAAAUAUAUUGGAGAUUUAUUUAGAGAAAUUAAAUUGACAAAAUUAUAAAUAAAAGUCAACUUUAGUCAAAAUUAAAAUAAUUGUAUUGUGGACAUUUGUAUGUAGUGUGUGUAAAAAUAAGUAUGAAUGGUUUUUAGAGAUUAAUUUUAUGUAAUAUUUCGCGACGGACACUUAUAUAUAUAUAAAUUUAUGCUAGAUGAUUUGAAAGUUAAUAAAUGUUAUAUUCAUAUCAGAAUUGAAGUAUUUUGAUUAGUUAUCAUUUGUCAAUAAAAAUCGAAACGUAAUUUAAUGUUGAAAAUAAUAAUUAUAAUUGUGAAUAAAAUCUUCUUAACAUUUGCAAUAAUAAACUAUUAGACAAUUUUUGACUUGUAACAAAUCUUAAAAAUAAUGAUGGAAGUAAAGUUAAAUAGUCCAAAAACUAGUCGCCAAUAUAGGUCCGCGUUUGAAAUAUGCAAAAACAAUUUUAUUCAAGAAGAAGUAGUUAUCCACAAACUGAAACACUGUCCUUGCGAUCAAUCGCAACGCAGCAAUCUAAUACAACAGGCCAAGGAUUUUUCCGAUGCAAUUGUCUAACGUCCUGCAAAACGAAAAAAUGCUUAUGUAAAAAUAAAAGCGUGCUCUGUAUUUCGAAAUGUCAUAGUACAUCAACGUGUUUUUAACAAAUAAUACUUUCGAUAUAUUAUAAUUAUUUUUUCAUUUUAAAUAUAAAAAAUAAAACAGAAUAACUAUA